rnacentral:rRNA from 1 species
GCAGUCGAGCGGGCGUAGCAAUACGUCAGCGGCAGACGGGUGAGUAACGCGUGGGAACGUACCUUUUGGUUCGGAACAACACAGGGAAACUUGUGCUAAUACCGGAUAAGCCCUUACGGGGAAAGAUUUAUCGCCGAAAGAUCGGCCCGCGUCUGAUUAGCUAGUUGGUGAGGUAAUGGCUCACCAAGGCGACGAUCAGUAGCUGGUCUGAGAGGAUGAUCAGCCACAUUGGGACUGAGACACGGCCCAAACUCCUACGGGAGGCAGCAGUGGGGAAUAUUGGACAAUGGGGGCAACCCUGAUCCAGCCAUGCCGCGUGAGUGAUGAAGGCCCUAGGGUUGUAAAGCUCUUUUGUGCGGGAAGAUAAUGACGGUACCGCAAGAAUAAGCCCCGGCUAACUUCGUGCCAGCAGCCGCGGUAAUACGAAGGGGGCUAGCGUUGCUCGGAAUCACUGGGCGUAAAGGGUGCGUAGGCGGGUCUUUAAGUCAGGGGUGAAAUCCUGGAGCUCAACUCCAGAACUGCCUUUGAUACUGAGGAUCUUGAGUUCGGGAGAGGUGAGUGGAACUGCGAGUGUAGAGGUGAAAUUCGUAGAUAUUCGCAAGAACACCAGUGGCGAAGGCGGCUCACUG